rnacentral:rRNA from 1 species
AAUGAACGCUGGCGGCAGGCCUAAACAUGCAAGUCGAACGCUGUAGCAAUACAGAGUGGCGCACGGGUGAGUAACAUGUGGGAAUAUGCCUAUUGGUACGGAACAACGUUUGGAAACGAACGCUAAUACCGUAUGGUCCCUUCGGGGUAAAGAUUUAUCGCCAAUAGAUUAGCCCGCACUAGAUUAGCUAGUUGGUGAGGUAAGAGCUCACCAAGCCGACGAUCGGUAGCUGGUCUGAGAGGAUGAUCAGCCACACUGGGACUGAGAUACGGCCCAGACUCCUACGGGAGGCAGCAGUGGGGAAUAUUGGACAAUGGGGGCGAACCCUGAUCCAGCAAUGCCGCGUGAGUGAUGAAGGCCUUAGGGUUGUAAAGACUCUUUUGCCAGGGAAGGAAUGAUGACUGUACCUGGAGAAUAAAGCCCCGGCUAACUUCGUGCCAGCAGCCGCGGUAAU